CCUCGCCCUCUUUUCUUUUGGAGGUCUGUGGUGUUGUGCGUGGUCUGCAGAACGGGUCUAUCAAGAUGCCCUGUUGACCCCUAAAGUAUGGCUAAUGUGAAUGUUUUGAUUGUGUGCCUUCCUGAAUUCGGAUGUAUUCAGAAAUGAGACCAGAUUGUCAAAUCGUUUUCAACCAUGAAAGUGCUACUUGCAAGUUUGAGGUAGUUGUUCACUAAACCUGUAAUCCAUGUAUAAGAAACUUGAGUGUUUUGCAAAUGUUAUAUGAAAAAGAAAUUUUAUUUUAUUGUAAUAGAUAAGAAAUUUUUGAGGUAAAGGUAAGAAGAUUAAAUUAUGAAAGGGAGCCAUACUGUCUGAAUACUGAAGGCAUCAGAACAGCUUUGCUGGAUCAGGCCAAAGGCCCAUCAAAUUCAGCAUUCUGUUCCUGCUAGAUGCAGUUGACUAAUGCUUGAAAAUCAGUAUAUUUUGAAAUUUAGAAAACUGAUUUUGAAUUUGAUUCAAUCCUUAAAACACAAAUACCAGUAUUUAUAUUUUAUGUUCUAAGGCAGGCAUCCCCAAACUUCAGCCCUCCAGAUGUUUUGGACUACAAUUCCCAUCAUCCCUGACCACUGGUCCUGUUAGCUAGGGAUCAUGGGAGUUGUAGGCCAAAACAUCUGGAGGGCUGCAGUUCUAAGGUAUGCCUUAUAUGCAACCAUCUCCCCCCCUCCCAAUUGAGAACAAAGUGUUAGGGCUCAUCCAUGCUGCUGCUUGUUCCUUGACUACAAAGCAUGGGCCCAAAAGGUUUUCCAUUUGCCCCACCACUUUCCCCAGAAAACCUGAUUGAUGUUUGCUCCGAUUAAGUGGUAUAGAGUGGGUUUUCCAGUAGAAGGCAAUGCAACAAGUGGAAGUGUGAACAAGCAUUUACAUUAACUUACAUCCAUGGGACAGACCCAAAGAAAUAACAAUAAUAAUUUAUUAUUUAUACCCCGCCCAUCUGGCUGGGUUCCCCCAGCCACUCUGGGCGGCUUCCAGCAAAACAUUAAAAUACAGAAAGUAUUGGUUACAAAACCUUAAAAUACAAAAAGUAUAUGGUUACAAAGAAAGUAACCAUAACAUUGUUAUUCAGGAUAUUGAAAACCCUUCCAUUGUUUUAAUAUUUUCUUAAUGUUGUUUUUAAUGCCAUAACCUGCCCUGGGACCUUACAGUGAAGGGUGGGUAAUGAAUAGAAAAAUUAUUAAUAGUAAUAAUAAUAAUUUUCCUAAGAGACUUUUCCCGCAUAGUCUAUAUAGCAAUAGUGAGUUGAAUUACAUUCCAUUUAAGACAUUCAUAGUAAAAGCUGCUCUUACUCUUUCAUGAAAUUUGGGAGGCUAUAACAGGAACCAAGGUCAUACAUUCCUUUUCACAAAAUGGAAAAUGUUUUCUUCCUCUGUUCCUCCCCGCCCUGAGAAAUACAAGACUAGAAAGGAAAAGCAAUGUCUGAAAUAGUACAGUUCUGUGGCCAAGCUUUGCAUCCUCCAUAUUUUCAGUGUUAUAAUGUGACAACAGGAAAAUCCGUUUUGCUGACUCAAAAUGUAUGUAUGACAAAAAUUAAGAACUACAUGAAUUGAUUUUACAACUAUUUACACAUUCAAGUUUAUUUUUAAAAAUAGACCUCAUUUUUCAGAUAUACUAAUCUUCACUAAUAAGAACAUCUGUUGCAGGUCCAUA